rnacentral:rRNA from 1 species
AGUGAACGCUGGCGGUAGGCCUAACACAUGCAAGUCGAACGGCAGCACAGUAAGAGCUUGCUCUUACGGGUGGCGAGUGGCGGACGGGUGAGGAAUACAUCGGAAUCUACUUUUUCGUGGGGGAUAACGUAGGGAAACGUACGCUAAUACCGCAUACGACCUACGGGUGAAGGCAGGGGAUCUUCGGACCUUGCGCGAUUGAAUGAGCCGAUGUCGGAUUAGCUAGUUGGCGGGGUAAAGGCCCACCAAGGCGACGAUCCGUAGCUGGUCUGAGAGGAUGAUAAGCCACACUGGAACUGAGACACGGUCCAGACUCCUACGGGAGGCAGCAGUGGGGAAUAUUGGACAAUGGGCGCAAGCCUGAUCCAGCCAUACCGCGUGGGUGAAGAAGGCCUUCGGGUUGUAAAGCCCUUUUGUUGGGAAAGAAAAGCAGCAGGUUAAUACCCCGCUGUUCUGACGGUACCCAAAGAAUAAGCACCGGCUAACUUCGUG